CCCCGUGUGGCUCAGUUGGUAGAGCAUGGUGUUUGCAACGCCAGGGUUGUGGGUUCGAAUCCCACGGGGG
rnacentral:tRNA from 1 species